GCAAACUUGGUCAUUUAGAGGAAGUAAAAGUCGUAACAAGGUUUCCGUAGGUGAACCUGCGGAAGGAUCAUUAACGAGCCCGCGGCGGCCACCGGGAGCGAUCCCGGCCGGCCCGCCGCGAAACGGCCCCCAUCCGUGUCUACCCUACCUGUUGCUUCGGCGGACCGGCCCGACCCGUCCGGGCGGCCGACCCGGACGUCUUCCGGGUCCGCCGGAGACCACACCUAGAACAGUGAACUAUUUCCUAGGACCUGUCUGAGAUAGCGGACCGCCUGUCCGGCGUGAUCCGGUCACUUAAUCAUACCUAAAACUUUCAACAACGGAUCUCUUGGUUCCGGCAUCGAUGAAGAACGCAGC
rnacentral:misc_RNA from 1 species